rnacentral:rRNA from 1 species
UGCCAGCAGCCGCGGUAAUACGAAGGGUGCUAGUGUUGUUCGGAAUUACUGGGCGUAAAGAGCAUGUAGGCGGCUAAGUUAGUUGGAUGUGAAAGCCCCGGGCUUAACCUGGGAACUGCACCCAAUACUGCUUAGCUAGAAUAUGGUAGAGGGAGGUAGAAUUUCCGGUGUAGCGGUGAAAUGCGUAGAGAUCGGAAGGAAUACCGGUGGCGAAGGCGGCCUCCUGGACCAAUACUGACACUGAGGUGCGAAAGCGUGGGGAGCAAACAGGAUUAGAUA